AGAGUUUGAUCCUGGCUCAGAUUGAACGCUGGCGGCAUGCCUUACACAUGCAAGUCGAACGGCAGCACGGGAGCAAUCCUGGUGGCGAGUGGCGAACGGGUGAGUAAUGUAUCGGAACGUACCUUUCAGUGGGGGAUAACGUAGCGAAAGUUACGCUAAUACCGCAUAUUCUGUGAGCAGGAAAGCAGGGGAUCGCAAGACCUUGCGCUGAUUGAGCGGCCGAUAUCAGAUUAGCUAGUUGGUGAGGUAAAGGCUCACCAAGGCGACGAUCUGUAGCGGGUCUGAGAGGAUGAUCCGCCACACUGGAACUGAGACACGGUCCAGACUCCUACGGGAGGCAGCAGUGGGGAAUUUUGGACAAUGGGGGCAACCCUGAUCCAGCCAUGCCGCGUGAGUGAAGAAGGCCUUCGGGUUGUAAAGCUCUUUCAGCCGGGAAGAAAACGCAUGGGUUAAUA
rnacentral:rRNA from 1 species